CUUGAGACGAAACAACAUUUCUCCCUCUUCUAUAACGUCCCACGAGGGCGUCUUUGGCAGGGAGGAGAAGAUAGAGAAUUUCAUCCAAGAAUUCCCAGCUGGAGACAUCUGUUCAGCAGCAAGUCACCUGAUGAACAGCUCUAACCAGCCAAGUGAAAAACAGGAGCUUUGAACACUUCUCCACACCCCAGCACACGGCAGAGUUCAUUAAAUGGCUGGGAAGCAUCAAGAGCCAGCGCUUGCCUGCACUGUCCAAGCAGUGGGUACCCAGCAGAAAGCUGCCUGGGGACCCCCUCUCCUGCCAACCUCUGGAAGGGCUGGAGUGCCCCAGGGACAGUUUAGGUGGGGUGCAGCAGUGCA
rnacentral:lncRNA from 1 species